UAGAGUUUGAUCAUGGCUCAGAACGAACGCUGGCGGCGUGCCUAACACAUGCAAGUCGAGCGCGAAUAGGGGCAACCCUUAGUAGAGCGGCGCACGGGUGCGUAACACGUGGAUAAUCUGCCUGGAUGCCCGGGAUAACCAGUCGAAAGAUUGGCUAAUACCGGAUAAGCCCACGGCCUCUUCGGAGACUGAGGGAAAAGGUGGCCUCUGUAUACAAGCUAUCACAACCAGAUGAGUCCGCGGCCCAUCAGCUAGUUGGCGGGGUAAUGGCCCACCAAGGCAACGACGGGUAGCUGGUCUGAGAGGACGAUCAGCCACACUGGAACUGAGACACGGUCCAGACUCCUACGGGAGGCAGCAGUGGGGAAUUUUGCGCAAUGGGCGAAAGCCUGACGCAGCAACGCCGCGUGUGUGAUGAAGGUCUUUGGAUUGUAAAGCACUUUCGACCGGGACGAAAACCCGUUGGCUAACAUCCAACGGCUUGACGGUACCGGGAGAAGAAGCACCGGCUAACUCUGUGCCAGCAGCCGCGGUAAUACAGAGGGUGCAAGCGUUGUUCGGAAUUAUUGGGCGUAAAGCGCGUGUAGGCGGCGUGACAAGUCGGGUGUGAAAGCCCUCAGCUCAACUGAGGAAGUGCGCCCGAAACUGUCGUGCUUGAGUGCCGGAGAGGGUGGCGGAAUUCCCCAAGUAGAGGUGAAAUUCGUAGAUAUGGGGAGGAACACCGGUGGCGAAGGCGGCCACCUGGACGGUUACUGACGCUGAGACGCGAAAGCGUGGGGAGCAAACAGGAUUAGAUACCCUGGUAGUCCACGCCGUAAACGAUGAGAACUAGGUGUCGUGGGGAGUUGACCCCC
rnacentral:rRNA from 2 species